UGCGGGAACCCAGCUCCACCUCACGCCGUCUUCCUACGCGUUGUGGUUGCCUAGGGGGCGCACAGUUCUCCAGGACCUUCGGGGCGCAUCCGGGCGGAGAAAAACCAGAGGCGCGUCGGUGGAGAUAGGAGACGAGUUCCUGACCCUGUUGCCCGUGUCCAGGGCGAGAAUUCUCGUCUGCUGUCUUUCGCGGAGGCCCUAGGGUAGAAGAUAGACAGGGUUUUACCAUGUUGCCCAAGCUGGACUCAAACUUCUGAGCUCAAGUGAUCCCACCUUGGCCUCCCAAAGUGCUAGGAUUACAGAUGGGGUUUCUCCAUAUGGCCAGGCUGGUCUUGAACUCCUGAUCUGAGGUGAUCCACUCACCUCGGCCUCCCAAAGUGCUAGGAUUACAGGCGUGAGCUGCUGCGCCUGGCCAAGAACUUAUUUCUCAUAGUUCUGGAGGCUGGGGACUCCAAUCACAUGGCUCUGGCAUCUGGUGAGUCUUUCUUGAUGCCUGGUAACAUGGUGGAAGGGCAAAUGGGUAUGAAAGACAGGCACGAGGGGCUGGACUCACUUUAUAACAACCCAUUGCCAUCAUAAUGACAUCGCGAUAAUGUCACGGUGGGCCACUCUGGCCCUUCAUCAUUUCUGGAUUCUACAGUGGCCUCUGAACUGGUGGAACUUCUGACUUUUACCUUUGAUCACCUCUAAUCAUGACACCACACCAUUUUUUUAAACCCUCAAGCUUUGCAUUAUAAGGUGUCCCAUACUCUGGUCCUUCUCUCUCUCUCUGGUCUGCUUUGAGCCACUCCACAUUACUGUCUACAUUCUGACCUCCCUGCUCUUUUCUAAAGGGUCAAGC